AUUGAACGCUGGCGGCAGGCCUAACACAUGCAAGUCGAGCGAGAAAGGUCUUCGGACUGAGUACAGCGGCGGACGGGUGAGUAAAGCGUAGGAAUCUACCUGGUAGUGGGGGAUAACUUGGGGAAACUCAAACUAAUACCGCAUACGCCCGUACGGGGGAAAGCGGGGGACCUUCGGGCCUCGCGCUAUCAGAUGAGCCUGCGUAGGAUUAGCUAGUUGGUGAGGUAAAGGCUCACCAAGGCGACGAUCCUUAGCUGGUCUGAGAGGAUGAUCAGCCACACUGGGACUGAGACACGGCCCAGACUCCUACGGGAGGCAGCAGUGGGGAAUAUUGCGCAAUGGGCGAAAGCCUGACGCAGCCAUGCCGCGUGUGUGAAGAAGGCCUUAGGGUUGUAAAGCACUUUCAAUUGGGAAGAAAAGUUGGUCGUUAAUAGCGGCCAGCCCUGACAUUACCUUUAGAAGAAGGACCGGCUAACUCCGUGCCAGCAGCCGCGGUAAUGUCG
rnacentral:rRNA from 1 species